AAACCAUGAUGAGGGCUUUUCCUCAAAAGGUACUUGAACCUUUCAUGUGCUUCGAAAAGUGUUUCAGAAUCACCUUGCUUGAAUGCAGAAAUCUCUUGUCUUAGUCU